CCCCGGCCCCGCCAGCUCACGUCCUGGGACCGAGGAGGGGGCCGCCAGGGCCAAUUCUUCUCACCAGCACCCGGCUCGCCCCCUUCCCCGGGUCCCUCUGGAAACCCCGGGCCAAGCACCGGGUGGUCUUGGCCCGGGGACACACGCUGAGAGCAUCGGCAAACGUUUUUGAUUGUCGUCGUAUUGCAGAGAAUUUCCUUGACCGGCUCUUAGGCCCGCCCGGGGGAAUGGGAGGAUGGAAAGCUCGGCUGGACUCAGCCCGCGCCUCGGCUCCACGCAGUCAGCGGUCACCCAGCGCCGGCUGCGAAGGGCCGCGGCUCCCCCACCACUCUGAGCAGCGGGGCGCUGAAAGCCCUGGUGCGGCGGGGACGGUCCUACUUUGGCCCCAAACGGAGGUUGCAGUGUUUCCAGCGGCCUCCUGGGGCCAAGGCAGGUACUGCUAGCACCUGGAUCGCCAGGGGCACGGAUCUAGCCCAGCUCACUGAGCGCGGCGUCUCCCCGGGCUGGAUCCAAAGUGUUUCCUUUGAGGUGGUGACCUCUGCAACUGAACUGUAAGCUCCCCAAGGGCGCUAGCGUGUGCGCUAGGCAGGACGCAGGACGAGGUUCAGUGAGGACCGCGCCCCCAAUGAAACCGAAGAGCACUACCUGCUGCGGCAAACAGCCGUCCUCCACCGGCCUCGGUUUCCCCAUCUGCAACACGAGAGGGCUGGAACAAAGCUUCCUCUCAGGUCCCUUUCAGCGCUAAAUCUAAAUCCUGAACAGCUCUUCACGCCGCACGUGUACAGCUUUGCAGGUUCCCCACCUCUUCACGUCUUGGCUUUCACCUUUUAUUGUGAUGAUGAAAGUCUUCUCCUUGCCUCCCUCCCCACAGCUCCAGCACCAGCCUGUGGCUCUCCGGAGAGGAGUGGAGGUGGUGGGGUGGGGGCUGUCUCCUGCUUCUCUGACAGUUCUUUUCUAUCCCAGAAGGGCUUCCUCCUUCUCCCCCACCUGCAGCCUCGUGUUAUUUCCCAGAAUUUGCUCCUGGCCCCUGUGCUCAGCCCAGCCCUUGUCUUUUCAGGAAAGUUCCCGGUCAGCUCUCCUCUCCUGCUGCCUGCUGUUACCUCCCGCUGCCAAGGGCCGCACUCCCGACCUCCAGCAGGUUCCUGGGUGUGGCCACUGGACUUGCCCUUGGCUCCUCAAAAUGACCCCACUCUUCCCCCCAUACUCCCUACCUGCGUGUCUUUAUUCCUUCCCUGCCUCAAUGAAUGGAACCACCCACUGCCUGAACACUUCUGACACACACAGGAGCCAAGUCCCUUGAUAGCUACACCCUGUGCCUAUGGCUCCAGCUUCCUUGGCACGGGCGCCCCGUCCCAGGCACAGCUGCACUUCUGCACCCUCAUGUUGGGCAGGCUGACUACCUGGGGCCUGCGCUUGCCUCCCUCCUCCAUGCUGACAAUCAUGGGCAGCGAGGUCGUCUCUGAGGCGAUGCACUGUCGCGGCCCCAGAAAUGGCCACUUGAAGGUCAAUGUACAUCUCCUGGCGGCAGCAGCGGGUGCCCUCAGUGAUUGGCGCCUUAGGAUCACAAUUUCCGUGAGCUCUGUGGGGACAAGGAGAGGCAAAGGCAGAGCACUUACCCGUAGUCCCUAAGGUCCAGGGUGUGCAGCUCCAGCUGGGGCUCCCCCUGCCCGGCGCCCGACGGCCCCUGGGAGGUGAAGCGGAUCAGC